GAGCGAGAGGAGAGACCCUGAAACACACGCCACCUAUCUUUGUGGGGAGGGAUAAUUGAAGAGCACCAAACGUUUCGUGACUUGUCCGUGCCCAAGUGUACCUGUAGAUACAGUCAUAUGCACACACACACACACACACAAAGUGAUAUCUUAAUGAAAUAUAUAGCACAGUGCAAAUAUCCUGAAAUCAGAUUCAAGUAUUAUUAAUUUGAAUUAGGUCCUCUCAGAUCCAGAAGACACUGCCUAUAAAUCAAGGGCAGUCUGGCAAUUCCUUAAAGAGCUAAACUGAAUUUAGAUGCAUAUGAUAAAAAGAAAGAAAAAGAAAAAAGUGAAUGCUAAUUACUGGCUCACCCAUUUUCCACUUAACCAUGUUUUAUAUCAGAAAAAAACAAACACAAAAAAAAAAAACAAGCUCUCAAAAUAAAUUAAUCCCAUAACAAAUGCUUUACAUAUUAUUCAUACGUUUCCAGAUUACAAAAUGGGAGGAUGAACGGCAGAUUAAGAGACACUGUAGCCUAACCUGCAAUGAGAGGGAGUGCCAUCCACGUAUCGUCAUUAAAACAUAUAUCUGCAGCUACACUGAAAAAGCAACCCUCAGCCCGUGCGAUGAUGCUCACGGGCUUUAAGGAACAUGUUGGCAUUGGCAGAUAAUCCCUAUUCGUAAUUUUUGCAGCCUGUUCUCCAGCCCUCAAUCUCACAGCUCCUCCAGCUCCUAUACAUCCCAGCAGGGCUGCAUCUGAGUGACAAACCACCCAAGCUUUGUGGGGGGGGGGGCACAACACCAAACCUUAUCAAUGCCAUUUUAAUGUGGUCUAUGGGAGUGUUAUUUUAUUUUAAUUUUUGGACACUGGGCAUAAACAUUUAGCAAUUAGCUAAGCCCUUCUGAGAUGGAAUUUAACCUUAAUCCAAGCGAUGAUUUCCUGCCCUGCUCUGAUCUAAUAAUGGGAGUGCAGCUCCUUGAGGAUAUGGAAAUAAUGACAACCUAUAGCUCUGCCUGGAUUGGGGUGGUGCUGGCAGCCCAGCUCCCAGCCUCUUCCCAUUCUCAGUGUGUUCAGCAUUCCCCUUCAGAGCUUAUGCCUCACUCCAUUUCCAGCUUAAAAAACAUGACCCCCAACCAGCCCAUCCAUUUAAAAACAAGCCCCAGCUCUCUCCCUGUGUGUUCCUGGGAACUAAGAUUCAGAGAGCAAGGCUGCCUUUCUUUUUCCCAUUUCCACAUGGAGGAGAGGAAGGAAGGGUCAGGGAACGACUCUCCCCCCACCCGCUGAUGAGUCAUUCCUGACGGCCUGGUGCUGUUCAGCUCCUGUCUACAACACACAUCUCUGCUUCUGGGCUGGAGGAACAGCAUGUGUGGGACCCGAGCUGCUUCUCACAUCGGGCA
ensembl:lncRNA